UUAUCAAACAGAUGGUGCGCUCCGAGC
rnacentral:piRNA from 1 species